AACGAACGCUGGCGGCAGGCUUAACACAUGCAAGUCGAACGCGAAAUCACCUUCGGGUGGUGGAGAGUGGCAGACGGGUGAGUAACGCGUGGGAACCUACCUAGUGGUACGGAAUAACUCAGGGAAACUUGGGCUAAUACCGUAUGUGCCCUAAAGGGGAAAGAUUCAUCGCCACUAGGUGGGCCCGCGUCGGAUUAGCUUGUUAGUGAGGUAACGGCCCACCAAGGCGACGAUCCGUAGCUGGUCGGGGAGGAGGAACAGCCACACUGGGACUGGGACAUGGCCCAGACUCCUAAGGGAGGCAGCAGUGGGUAAUAGUAGAGAAUGGUGGCAAGCCUGAUCCAGCCAUGCCGCGGGAGUGAUGAAGGCCCUAGGGUUGUAAAGCUCUGUCGGCGGGAACGAUAAUGACGGUACCCGCAGAAGAAGCCCCGGCUAACUUCGUGCCAGCAGCCGCCGUAA
rnacentral:rRNA from 1 species